AGCUCCAAUAGCGUAUAUUAAUGUUGUUGCAGUUAAAAAGCUCGUAGUUGGAUUUCUGACAAGAGCGACCGGUCCUAGCCUAAGGUUGGUGUACUUGUGUUGUCUCUAGUCAUCCUUAUGGAGAACGUGCCUUGCAUUAAAUUGUAGAGCUCGGGACCCAUAUCGUUUACUGUGAAAAAAUUAGAGUGUUCAAAGCAGGCAAUCGCUGUGAAUACAUUAGCAUGGAAUAAUAAGAUAGGACCCUGGUACUAUUUUGUUGGUUUACAUACCAAGGUAAUGAUUAAGAGGGACAGUUGGGGGUAUUCGUAUUUAAUUGUCAGAGGUGAAAUUCUUGGAUUUAUGAAAGACGAACUACUGCGAAAGCAUUUACCAAGGAUGUUUUCAUUA
rnacentral:rRNA from 1 species